AUCCAGCCGAUGAGUCCCAAAUAGGACGAAACGCGCAUCCUGGAU
rnacentral:hammerhead_ribozyme from 1 species